rnacentral:rRNA from 1 species
CAGAGGUCCCAAGCGUUGUUCGGAUUCACUGGGCGUAAAGGGUGCGUAGGCGGUCGGGUAAGUCUGACGUGAAAUCUUCAAGCUCAACUUGGAAACUGCGUCCGAUACUAUUCGGCUAGAGGAAUGGAGGGGAGACUGGAAUACUUGGUGUAGCAGUGAAAUGCGUAGAUAUCAAGUGGAACACCAGUGGCGAAGGCGAGUCUCUGGACAUUUCCUGACGCUGAGGCACGAAAGCCAGGGGAGCAAACGGGAUUAGAUACCCCGGUAGUCCUGGCCCUAAACGGUGCACGUUUGCUGUAAGAGGAAUCGACCCCUUUUGUGGCGAAGCUAACGCGUUAAACGUGCCGCCUGGGAAGUACGGCCGCAAGGUUA